GAUCCUGGCUCAGGAUGAACGCUAGCUACAGGCUUAACACAUGCAAGUCGAGCGGAACACUUCGGGUGUUAGCGGCAGACGGGUGAGUAACACGUAUCCAACCUUUCCCUUACUCGGGUAUAGCCUCGGGAAACUGAGAGUAAUCCCCGAUGUGGUGCACGGAAAGCAUUUUUUGCGCACGAAAGAUUAAUCGGUAAGGGGUGGGGAUGCGUUCCAUUAGGUAGUAGGCGGGGUAACGGCCCACCUAGCCGAUGAUGGAUAGGGGUUCUGAGAGGAAGGUCCCCCACAUUGGAACUGCGACACGGUCCAAACUCCUACGGGAGGCAGCAGUGAGGAAUAUUGGUCAAUGGGCGAGAGCCUGAACCAGCCAAGUAGCGUGCAGGAAUGACGGCCCUAUGGGUUGUAAACUGCUUUUGUGCGGGAAUAACGGUCGACACGUGUGUUGAUGUGCAUGUACCGUACGAAUAAGGAUCGGCUAACUCCGUGCCAGCAGCGGC
rnacentral:rRNA from 1 species